rnacentral:lncRNA from 1 species
ACCACUGCCAGAGGCUGGUGGACACCUGGGCAGAGAGAACAAUUGGAUGAUGAUGUCAUGUUGACAUCAUUGGCCUCACAGGAACCACAUCUCACCGGCUGCCUCCCCGUUUGUGUGUCAUUUGAAGGCCACCCCAAAUGUCACCUCCUAAUUGGAACCUUCCUGGACCCCCCCCCAGCCUUCCCAUCUCGUGUUCCAGGCGGGCUGUGGGCAGCUUGGCCCCAUGCUGCCUGCUGAGGGAUCCCGGGCGAGUGUUCCCAGCAGGAAGGGCUCUUGUGAGAUGGGGGCAGUGGGAGAGGAGUAGAAUCCGUGUCCUUGUUCCUGACUCUGGCCCACGUGAGGUCUUGCCGUGGCGGGUAACAUUUGGACACAGUCAUAACACGAGAGAACACGCUGGAAAGAUGAAGGCAGAGAACAGGGUGAUGUUUCUCCAAACCAAGGAACACCGAAGGCUGCCCACAAUCACCAGGGCCAGGGGGAGGCACGGGCCGCCUUCCCCUCGGAGCCUCAGAAGGAAUGCCCCCUGCUGCCUGCAAGGACCGGGGACAGACUGGCAAUUUCCGACAGCGGGGGAAAGAUGACAUCUUUAAAAUCACACACAAGAGCCCUGCAGUCUCAGUUCAAGUCAGAGGGAGAAAAUCAGAAAGCAAGGAGGACCAGCGAAGAAAAUCUUCUGGUAGCAAGACCGUGGCAUCUGAAAAUGAUUCCCCAAGUUUUACCCUACAGCUUGGAGGAUUACAAUGGAAAUUAAAUUCUCAGCCUCCCCAGGUGGGCUCCCCACGGACAGCUAGGCUCUCGCCCUGCAGGAACUUCCUCCACCGCGGGCAGGGGCAGCCUGCAGGUUCCAGCAGAGCCCAGGGCAACUUCCUCCACCGCGGGCAGGGGCAGCCUGCAGGGUCCAGCAGAGCCCGGGGCAACUUCCUCCACCGCGGGCAGGGGCAGCCUGCAGGGUCCAGCAGAGCCCGGGGCAACUUCCUCCACCGCGGGCAGGGGCAGCCUGUAGGGUCCAGCAGAGCCAGGCCCAGCCUUGCGGCCGGAUAUUCUUCCAGGUUCUUGGUUUCUUCCCGUGUGCUCCCUGUCUGUCCUAGAAACAUGCGCUGCUUCUGGCACUGCUAUUCCUGUAUUCCUCCGAGUUCUCUUGUAACCUUUUAAUAGUGACACAUCUUUUUCUAGUUGAUGAUUCUUUAUCUUGAAUGUUCCUGUUCAAAUGACUGGUGUGGUUUCUGUCUCCUGCCUGGAACCUCAUGGUACAGAAUCAGCACGAGGAGGGUCCCAGCAGGGCAUCUGGGGACUGUUUGCAUCGUCCCUAGGGUGUGAACGCCCGGCUGAGCUUCCUGCCAAUGGGAAACGGGGUGCCAGGCCCCACUUCGAAGUGGAUUUGCUGUGGCCUCUGGUUGGGUGAAAGAAAGGGCUGGAUGAAGCUGGUGCCGGGGCGCCCAAGCGGCUGCUGCCCUUCAGAGCAGAACAGCAAAGAUGCCCCAGGACUGCGGACUGGGGGUUCCUCCUCCACGCACUGGGUGUUCACAGCAAUCAGAUGGCUGGCAGGAGCAGCUCCUCCCAGACCUCGGGGCAGCUGAGAGGCAGAGAAUGUUCG